ensembl:processed_transcript Dleu2 deleted in lymphocytic leukemia, 2
AAUGUUGACGCAAUCUAUAAAUAGUGGAACAAAAGGACCAACUUCCUCGGAGCUUUGCUGAAACUGCACAAAAAAUCGAGCUGGGGGGUUCCCUGGUCCCCGAUGUUGGGGCGGAGAGCGCGGCGCCGAGGGAGGGGGCGGCGCAGACCGGCCUAGGGGACACCUGGUCGAGCGCAGCCGCCGCUCCGCUCGAGCCCUGCGCUCCAGUGCCCCCACUGGCUGGAGAGCUCGCCCAGACCGGGGGUCUUCCUCCGUCGCUGACAGAUUUUAACCAUUAGAAGAAUACCAGUUCUGGAAAACAACCAAAGUUUCUUUGAUUGAAUGCCCAUGUAAUGCAUUGGAAUAUGAUAGGCGAUUAAGGUUUAACAAUGUUAAAAUGAAGAUAUUACUAAAAUGGCCCUCUAAAUAGCCCAACAAUUAUUAUUUUCUUUGUCCUAUGGAUUUGGCUUUGAAAGAUGUGCUGCUCUUAAUAAGCAUUAAUUCUCUCUCUCGGGCAGAAACCUACGUGUUCCUCUUCCAGAGAGCUGGUGAAGCCAAAGGCAUUCUCAUAAUGAUGCGCUACACCGACUGACAUUUACCAACUGUGUCAAAGCUACAGGAGCCAGGUAGACACUGCUGGAACUUUAACGGGAAUCAAACAAGUCUAUAAGAAGCACUGAGCUGUGCCACUACCCAAUCAGUGUUCUUCCAGAGCACACAAACGAAAGUGGGAGGAGCCUUCCAAUGAGAACUGUUGUGUGAUUAAUCAAUGAGGCUGACUAAAGCACACACUUAUAAUCCCAAUACUCAGAAAGACAGAGGAAGAAGGAUAUCAGCGCAAGGCCAACAAGGCUUCAAAGCAAGUACCAACCCAGUAUGGACCAUGAGACCCUAUUUCAGAAACAAAUAAUAAAAGCUUGAUGAAGCUGCAAAAAUUACUCAUUUUAUCAAUCCCUAUUCUUGUAUACUGAACUAUACACAAAGGCACUUGUGUGGCCAGUGGGUGCGGUCAGAAAGGAGUACAGGCUCACGUGACUCAGCUACAAGCUGAGACAGCUGCUGCUAUUAGGAAAACAAUGGAAGCCAGCAGUAUGUAGAUUUAGGGAGCUGACAAAUCCUGAAAAUGAAUAAAAUGAGCUGGGUACUUCCAGAAACACGAUACUUCUUGACCAUGAAAAGGAAAAAGGCUGGGUUUUUAUGUUAAAAUUUGAAUUUUUGCAAAAUGUACUUAUAAUCUUCCCAUUAAAGAUGCUGAUAAAUAGUAAAGUUAACAAAUGUGAGGGUUAUUGGGGAAUUAUAUAAUGAAAUAUGUCAAUGUUUGGAGGUCUCUGUAAUAAUGUUAUAAAUCAUAGAAGACUUGUUUAAAAUAUAAGAAAGGGUUGGAGUGUGGCUCAGUGGGAGAGCACUUGCCAAGACCCUGAGUUCAAUUCCCAAUACUGCAGAAAUAAAAAAUAAGUAUGAUC